rnacentral:rRNA from 1 species
GACGAACGCUGGCGGCGUGCCUAAUACAUGCAAGUAGAACGCUGAAGGAGGAGCUUGCUUCUCUGGAUGAGUUGCGAACGGGUGAGUAACGCGUAGGUAACCUGCCUGGUAGCGGGGGAUAACUAUUGGAAACGAUAGCUAAUACCGCAUAAGAGUAGAUGUUGCAUUACAUUUGCUUAAAAGGUGCAAUUGCUUCACUACCAGAUGGACCUGCGUUGUAUUAGCUAGUUGGUGGGGUAACGGCUCACCAAGGCGACGAUACAUAGCCGGCCUGAGAGGGUGAUCGGGCACACUGUGACAGAGACACGGCUCAGAAUGCUACGGGAGGCAGCAGUAGGGAAUCUUCGGAAAUGGGCGGAAGUCUGACAGAGAAACGCCGCGUGGGUGAAGAAGGUCUUCGGAUCGUAAAGAUCUGUUGUAAGAGAAGAACGAGUGGGAGAGUGGAAAGUGCACACUGUGACGGUACCUUACGAGAAAGGGACGGCUAACUACGUG